AACCCCAAUCAAACACAGCUGAAGGAGCUAAUCAAAGUGUUCAGGGUUGCUUGAUAAUAACAAAGAGAUGUGUUGGAGCUUGGUAGGAACUGAAGUCUGCAGGAUCAUAGCUUACCGGGAACAGGGUUGGAAACACCUGAUAUUUGGAGAUAAAAUGAUUGCUUUUAGAGGAUUUGAGCAGUUGCAGAGAAAUAAGGUCAGGAGUAACUGCAGCACUGGGUUGCUGCCCCUGCCAAAGGACACCAUCUGUGCGGUGAGGAGUAUCGUCUACCUCCGAUCUCAUCAAACAACAGCAGAGACGUGCCAAGAAAGAAAACAAUGGUUUUAAAUGUUUUUGUUUAAGGAAAAAUUAGAAGUGUAAACUUUGGAUAGAAGUGAACAGAACAUGAGUGGUCUCUCUUGGACAUAAAUGAGGACAGAUUACAGGACUUUAGAAGGCCUGAAGCCGUCAUCAUCUUGCAGAAGUGCUUCUUCAUCUGUAGCCUGACUCUUUCGCAAUUUCUGCCGUGUGGCCCGUCACACUGAACAUGUUUGAAAUGGAAUUCUCAUGCUGUCCUGCACCAGACUAUUUCGCAAUUACUGCCGUGUUAGUCUAAACACCCUGGACAUGAUAGACUGAGACAAGACAGAAUGGAUGCCUAAAGAAGAAGAAUUUGAUGUUUUACUUGAGAAUUAUACAUGUGAUUUUAAUUAAAACUGUAAAAUUGUGUUAAAAAGAAUAAAACGGGAGUAAAAGUGAUUUGAAUUUAAAAGUGCAUAUAAAAUAUACUGCGAAAUAUCAGUUUGGACGCAGCAUAGUGCUCAUUCGGUAAAUGCAUAGCUAAACAGAUGUGUUUUGAGUCUGGAUUUGAAUGUGAGUACUGUUGGAGCAGAUCUGAUCUCUUCUGGAAGCUGGUUCCAGCUGCGACUGGCAUGAUAGCUAAAAGCUGACUCUUCUUGCUUGGAGUGAACCCUUGGUAAUUCUUGCUGAUCUGAUCUUAAUGAUCUGAGUGAUUUGUUGGGAUUAUAUUCGAUGAGCAUAUCUGCAAUGUAUUGAGGUCCUAGUCCAUUGAGUGAUUUAUAUACCAUUAAUAAUACUUUAAAAUCAAUCCUAAAUGUAAAUGGUAGCCAGUUUAAAAACCUGAUGACUGGUGUGAUAUGUCCUGGCAGCAGCGUUCUGGAUGAGCUGGAGCUGUCUAAUGGUCUUUUUGGGAAGGCCAGUGAGGAGGCCAUUACAAUAAUCCACCCUGCUGGUGAUGAAAGCAUGCACAAGUUUCUCUAAGUCUUGUCUGGAAACAAAGCAUCUAAUUCUUAUUUUUUUUUAGAUGAUAGUAUGCUGAUAUAGUUAUUGCUUUGACAUGACUACUGAAACUAAGGUCAGACUCCAGAAUCACACCAAGAUUCCUGACUUGAUUUUUAAUUAUUUGACCCCUAGCGUCAAGGUAUACAUUCACCUUGAGAACUUCAUCUUUGUUUACAAACGCAAUGACUUCAGUUUUCUCUUUGUUUAACUGAAGAAAGUUUUGGCACAUCCAACUGUUAACUUCAUCAAUGCAUUUGCACAGGGAGUCAAUGGGGCUGUAGUCGUUAAGUAGAUCUGAGUGUCGUCUGCAUAACUGUGAUAGCCAAUUUGGUAAUCUCUCGUUAUUUGGCUCAGUGGGAGCAUAUACAGUGUUAACAGGAGUGGCACAAGAAUUGAGCCUUGCGGGACUCCACAUGUCAUGGAUCUUCACUCAGAUUUAUGGCCACCUAUACUCGCAUAAUAACCUGAACCAUGAACAAGUAUGACCUGAACCAUUUUAGGACCAUCCCAGAAAGCCUGACCCAGUUUUCCAGCCUGUCAAGAAGUAUGUUGUGAACGACAGUGUCAAAAGCAGCACUGAGGUCGAGUAGCACCAGUACUGAUAGUUUGCCUGUGUCUGUAUUGAGGCGAAUAUCAUUUAUUAUCUUUAUGAGCGCUGUCUCUGUAUUGUGGCGUGGUCGGAAACCAGAUUGAAAAUUGUCAAAGUAACCAUUA